AGAGUUUGAUCCUGGCUCAAACGAACGCUGGCGGCGUGCUUAACACAUGCAAGUCGAGUGCGCGGUUGUAGCAAUACAACUGGCGCACGGGCCGGGUGCGUAACACGUGGGUAACCUGCCCUUUGGUGGGGAAUAACCCCGGGAAACCGGGGCUAAUUCCGCAUAAGAUCCGCAAGGAUGAAAGCCGCAAGGCGCCGAUGGAGGGGCCCGCGCACGAUUAGCUAGUUGGUAGGGUAAUGGCCUACCAAGGCUUUGAUCGUUAGCUGGUCUGAGAGGAUGGCCAGCCACACUGGAACUGAGACACGGUCCAGACUCCUACGGGAGGCAGCAGUGGGGAAUCUUGCACAAUGGGCGAAAGCCUGAUGCAGGACGCCGCGUGGGGGAUGAAGCAUUUCGGUGUGUAAACCCCUUUCGACCCGGACGAAUGCCUCGCAAGAGGAGUGACGGUACGGGUAUAAGAACCGGCUAACUACGUCCAGCAGCCGCGGUAAGACGUAGGGGGCCAGCGUUGUUCGGAAUUACUGGGUGUAAAGGGUCAGUAGGCGGUGUGGCAAGUUGGGAGUGAAAUCUAUGGGCUCAACCCAUAGGCUGCUUCCAAAACUGCUGUGCUUGAGUGUGGGAGAGGCGCGUGGAAUUGCAGGUGUAGCGGUGAAAUGCGUAGAUAUCUGCAGGAACACCCGUGGCGAAAGCGGCGCGCUGGACCACAACUGACGCUGAAUGACGAAAGCUAGGGGAGCAAACAGGAUUAGAUACCCUAGUAGUCC
rnacentral:rRNA from 1 species